rnacentral:rRNA from 1 species
CCUACGGGAGGCAGCAGUGAGGAAUAUUGGUCAAUGGUCGGGAGACUGAACCAGCCAAGCCGCGUGAGGGAGGAAGGUACAGAGUAUCGUAAACCUCUUUUGUCAGGGAACAAAGGCGGGGACGUGUCCCCGGAUGAGUGUACCUGAAGAAAAAGCAUCGGCUAACUCCGUGCCAGCAGCCGCGGUAAUACGGGGGAUGCGAGCGUUAUCCGGAUUUAUUGGGUUUAAAGGGUGCGCAGGCGGUCUGUUAAGUCAGCGGUCAAAGCCCGGGGCUCAACCCCGGCCCGCCGUUGAAACUGGCAGUCGCGAGUUGGAGAGAAGUAUGCGGAAUGCGCGGUGUAGCGGUGAAAUGCAUAGAUAUCGCGCAGAACUCCGAUUGCGAAGGCAGCAUGCCGGCUCCACACUGACGCUGAGGCACGAAAGCGUGGGUAUCGAACAGGAUUAGAUACCCUGGUAGUC